CCAAUGUGGAUAUCCUGGGAGGUCACUCUUCCCAGGUUCUCUUCUUGUGACCUAUGGGAGCCUAAGGCUGUUCCCAUUGAUGUACAGUCCCUUUCCUCGAUGUUGGAGAUAUAGCUAGGCCUUGAGUCUGCCCCUACAUAUUCCUACGACUUCUCAGAGUUCUGUGGACAAUGAGGAGACAAACAAUGCAGCAAACAACC
rnacentral:snoRNA from 1 species